rnacentral:misc_RNA from 1 species
UCCGAGUUGACCCCGGCAGUCUCCUGCGAGUCCCCGCCAUUACGCGCUGGCAACACAGGACAAGGGUUGCGCUCGUUGCGGGACUUAACCCAACACCUCACGGCACGAGCUGACGACAGCCGUGCAGCACCACCUGUGCAGGGCCCUUGCGGACCCCGUAUCUCUACGAGAUUUCCCUGCAUGUCAAGCCCAGGUAAGGUUCUUCGCGUUGCGUCGAAUUAAACCACAUGCUCCGCUGCUUGUGCGGGCCCCCGUCAAUUCCUUUGAGUUUUAGCCUUGCGGCCGUACUCCCCAGGCGGGGCACUUAAUGCGUUAGCUUCGGCACGGAGGGAGUCGACACCCCCCACACCUAGUGCCCAUCGUUUACGGCGUGGACUAC